UCUGCCUAACAAAAUAAGUUGUCCUUGUGAUAUAUUAGUGGAAAAUGUCUCUUUUUAAAGUCAAGAGCUUAGUGUGUGCGGUAAACAUGUAUUUGUUAUCGACAAUGGCUUGAUCAACAUUUGGUGCAAACCUAAAAUCAUCAUAACAAGUUGAAUCCAUAUCCAUAUACAGAAUUUUAGCUUCAUGAUUCAGUUAAUGAAUUGAGUCAGAUUCAUAUAAACUAUUACACACUGAUGCUUUAAAAAAUGGUGAGGUACACUUACUUUGAGCGGUUGAUGAAAGAAAAUCGAGAGGUAAUAAACUUAUAAAUCUUGACAAGUUGUCUUUGGAAAUUUCUGUAAUUAAAUGAUAUUUUUGUAACGUUCCUAUAACUUAAAACCUUAUUGUAUCACAUCAUUGGAUUCUUCAAUAUAUAGUUGACCUGUGUACAAUAUGUAAAUCCAUUUGAUGGAAAGAUUACCAACACUGCUAUCUUCCUGUAUAGUCUUCCCGUUGUGUCUAUUAUCUUGUAUUUGAUGUUUUUAAGUUGUAUCCAAGCUGGAGCUUCAUCAAAUCUAAGUUCAGAUCCAUAAUCAAGCUCCUCAGGAAUUACAGGCGUUUUCAUUACUCUCUUCAGGCAAUCUUAUCUCAUAUGGUCAAGUUUUCCUUAUACAUUUUAUUCUAAUGUAGUGUUCUUCAUUGAUUCAUGGUCAUUGUAGGCAGAUAUAGAACUAUUGACGCUCAAUGAUUGAGGAAAUAACUCAAACUAAGAUUAAGGUCAUUAAAUGGGGAACUUUGGAAAUUGUGAAUAUACUUGUAAGUUGUAACUAGUAAGGAAGGUGCUAGUUACUUAGUGGGCACAUUGGGGAAGUAUGCAUGGCUAUAGAGAAGCCUGGUAUCGGCAGAAUCAGAACAUUUGGUUGGGAUAUUUGCAGAAUUGAUGACAGGAAGUUGGCCUUCCCUGCCUGGACAUGUGAGCUAAGGUUUUCCCACUUCCUUCUCUUAUCUUUUUCUGUUGAGAGUCGGAAAAGGGUAGAGGAGACGGACGCCGCAAAGGUGUCUUUACUCUUUAGUAGCCUAAUUUGGGCGUGCUACCAGACAUAUACAAUGCACUAUCAAUUUGCUACUGGUAAAGGUCCAGUGACUGCAGUUUAGUUUGAUGUAUUGGGUACAGAGUAGCACAGAAUUUGAAGCAAAUGAAGUAACUAGGUGAAAUCCUAGAUCCCCUCUGGCCUCUAUACCCCAACUAACAAUGAGAGGCAAAACAUGAUGUUUGCUCUUGCUUGCACUUAGAUGAUCGAUGGUGCUCUGAUAGACCUGUUGUUACUAGGUUCUAUAACCACAGGAAGAAGGGUGAAAAUAAGGCUUAAAUGUAACUGUAUUAUGUAUUUCUAGUUGUUACCUAGCAGUUUAGACAGUUAAUUUGUGUUGUAUUAUACUAGGGAGAAGGGAAGACAGGCAGCUUUUCCUCUAGGAUUUCUCUGCGAGAUUUGGAGGAUAGGGUUCCUCAUAUUACCUUGGUUUUUAGAUGUAUUGGUUGUUCAUUCUCUUAUUUCUUUGUUGAGUUUGGAAGUUCACAGAUUAAAGUUGGGAAGGUUUCUAGGUUCCUAACAUGCUCCUUAAAAUGAAUGGUUUAGUUGGAGAAACGACAGUCACCUGUGGUAUUAAACAAUUUAUCUACGUUAAAUGAAAUUGUGGCAGUCUAGAAAAUGUUAGAGAAAACUACUUAUACAGAAUAAAUAUCCGAGGCUUUGCUGAUUCCUGUGGUGUACAAUGCACAUGGAAUAAAUUCAGACAAGUGCAAAGUCUCAGGAACUCAAGAUUGCAUAGCUCCUUAUCGUGGUAUUUGAGUAAACCUACAAUUAACUCUGUGAUGUUACAUGCUAAUUCCUUAAUUGAUUUCCAGGUAUCUGAGUGGACCAUACGUCCACCUUCUAUUUAAGAUCAGAGCAGAGACUACCAAAAAUGUAGAAAGGAAACCUAUUCCCAUACUAAUAUAAAAUCUUGCAGUUAUAAACUUGUCCUCAUCACUCAAUGUUGGAUCUUGAGGUGGUUCCUCUACGUAGCAAGCUACUGUUAGUGGAUAGCCACAAAGUCCAGGAUUUCCAAUGUACGAUCUGUUGUCGAAAGCCAGUAAUUGUUCAUCUAAAGGGAUUCGGCCAGACAAGUUGUUAUAUGACAAGAUCAAGAUUCCCAUGUAGCUUAACUGUGAAAGUCGAGCAGGAAUUUUCCCUAAAAGAUCAUUUCUGUGUAAGUCGAGGAAAUUUAGUGCCCUAAAUUCACCAAUCUUCAAAGGGAUGUUUCCAGUUAAAUUGUUUCUUGACAGGUUCAAACUUCAAACCAUGCAAACCCACAAGAGAUGUAAUUUCAAUAGGGAUUUCUCCUACCAAGUUGUUGCUUGAGAGAUCAAUGCUCCUCACCAUACCAAGUAUGCUGCUGUAUUCAAAUUGUCUUCCCUUCCACAUCAAAAUUGCACUCUCAUCAUAUGAAGCAUUUAUUGUACACCUCAAUCGCCGACCUGAGAAUACCAACUCUUAAUUUGUUGCAUCGCACUCUCUUCUUCAGUCAUUGCAGUGAGGUUGUUGAUACAUUUUGGUAUGGUCCCAGAUAUCAUAUUUUUGGAUAAGCCCAAGAUUUGAAGUUUUGUUAGCUGGCAUAUGCUUGAAGUUUGCCAGGGACCGAGGUAGUUCUGUCAAAUGAUUGUUUUGAAGGUGCAGCAUUCCCAUUGUCUGCAAUGAACCUAUCAAAUUAGGCAUCUUCCCGAAGAAGUUAUUGUUCCCUAAAUUAAGAUGCAUGAUACUUCCAAGUGUCCAGCAGUGAGGAAGCUCUCCAGACAACCUACUAUCUGAGAGGUCAAGAUAUCCCAAAUAAUCAAAAUUGUCACAAAUGAAGGAGAUCAUCCCAGAAAACAUAUUACUGGAGAGAUGAAUUGUUAUAAGACUGGUAGGAAAUUUUGCUAAUGGACCACUGAAUCUGUUUGUAGCCAAAUCUAUGCAAAGAAUAUCACUCAUCUUCCUUGAGAGAUCUGGUACAUUUCCACCCAUAUCAUUGUAAGAAAUGUUUAGGAAGCUCAUUCCAGACAACCGGUCCCAGAACCAACUAGGAACGUCACCCGAAAGUCCAGAAGCUGAAAAAUCAAGGUCAGAAAUAUUAUGCUGGUUCCACAGCCCGUUUGGGAAUUGAGGACCCAAUUUACAGUGGGUAAAACGGACGAGAUCCAGUUGAAAAGGGGCGAUCCAAUCUGAACUGACUCGAAUAUGUAAUUGAGCAUUAUAAGAGAGGUCCAACUCACGUAAUUGUGAGAUCCUGAACAGAUGAGCUUCAGAUAUUGUGCCUUCGAGCUGAUUGAAAUCGAGGUACAACUUCUCAAGUUUGGAAAGGCGUCCGAGUUUUUGGCCAAAAAUAUCCCUUAUGUUUAGGGGUAGGCUUAACUUUGUCCUUUAAAUAGAACCUUGACCACUAUAUAUCCUUUAAGUUUGCAAAACCUGAGCACAUUUAGUCUCACUAAUAGAGAACUCCACCUCCCGUUAGAAAACUAACUGAGAUAUAACAUGUGAUCUGCACGUGAUUCUUGAAGGGGAAAAAGGCGUGCUUUUCCACCCAAAGUGGUAGAUUUCCCUCCUCUCUCUCAAAAACCUUUCUUCUCCAAUUCCCUUUUCAUCUUUGUUUCAGAGCUAAAAAAUCACGGCCUUCUUGAAAUCACUUCAAAUCUUCACUACUUUGGUUCACCCAAUCAAUGAUUCUUAGGAGCAUCAAUGGUGCAAGAAACCCUAGUUAUGAUCCUCUAUACGAGCCAGAAUAUUUUACCAUUAAAAUAACACAUGGUGGUAUAAUGAAACACAAGCCUACAAGAUAUCAUGUUGGGGGCCAUGUGGACUUUAUUGACGAUGUGAAUAUGACCGAAUUGAAGCUAUCAGUAUUCAAAUCAAUGGUUGAAUUAUGUGGUUAUACGAAUGACUCAGUUACUUUUUGGCACGAGUUCGGAAGGUUAGGUGACAAAAUGAGGCAUGUUUCAACUGAUAUGGAAGCUACUAUUGUUGCAAAAAAUAUCCUAAAGAUCGAGUAGUUGAGGUAUACUUUGAACAUUUGGACUCGUAUAAUGAAAUGGGUAUUGAGGAUGUUAUGUACAGGGGACCAAGAAACUCAAGUGUUAAAACUCAAGCAAUUGUUGAAGAACAUCAUAAUGAAGUUGGAGGUGAAAAUUCUUCAAACAGUGAAGAUUUUGAAGAUUCAGAAAAUGACUUGUCAGAUGAAAAUGAUUUAUCAGAAAGAAUUACAAAUGAAAAGCGUAGACAUGAGGUUAGUGAAGAAUUACAGAGAAAGUUGUAUGCCGAAGAAGGGGAAUCGGAUUGUUGCAACUUCCUAUGUCUAUGAUUGUUAUAAGGUGGAAACAUAUAGAAGGGUCUAUGACUUUGCUAUUUUACCUAUGAAUGGACAGGAUAUGUGGCCAAAGUCAAAAAACAUUGCUCAAUUGCCUCCCAAAUUAGUAAGAACUAGCACUAAAGGAAGAAAGCAGACAAAAAGGAGAAAAGAAUCGGAUGAAGUAGGAGCAAGUAGAACUAAAACGAAAAGGAGACAGACUUCUUUGGAUUGUAGCAAAUGCCAUAAUACUGGCCAUAACAGAAGAACAUGCAAACUAUAUUUUGUUCAACCGGAUCUCCAAGUUAAUAAGCCAUCAUCUUACGCUUCGGGCUCAUCAACUCGCGCAAAGCUUCCGGUUAGAGGAGGACCUGCGGCGCGGAGACAUAUGCAAUCAACUCAAGAAUUUGACUGAUAAUUAUGUUGGUAUCUGCUGAAAUAUAGCUACUAUAUUGGUUGUUUUGCUGCUGAAAUGUCGUGAGAAUGCUGAUUUUUGACUGCUUGAAUGUUGUUUUUAUUGCAGCUGAAAUGCUAUUUUUGCGGUUGGAAUGCUGUUUUUUGUUGCCAAAACACUGUUUAUUUUUUCUGCUGGAACGCUGAUUUUUGCUGCUGAAUUCUUUCUGCUAAAUGCUGAAACUUACUGCUGGCGCACUGUUUUUUAGCUGCUGAAAUGCUGUUUUUUUUUUUUGGCUGCUGGAACACUUUUUUUUUUGUUGUUGGAACGCUGAAGUUUGCUCAAUUGGUGAAAGGCGAUUCCCUUUGGGGAAUGUAAAGGAGCCAGAGGUUCCGGGUUCGAUACCCCGUAGCGCUGCAGCGUGAAGAGGGAUAAUGGGGCAAGCCCCUGUGCGGA